rnacentral:rRNA from 1 species
CGGCAGCACGGGUAGCAAUACCUGGUGGCGAGUGGCGAACGGGUGAGUAAUAUAUCGGAACGUGCCUUAUAGUGGGGGAUAACGCAGCGAAAGUUGCGAUAAUACCGCAUACGCCCUGAGGGGGAAAGUGGGGGACCGAAAGGCCUCACGCUAUUAGAGCGGCCGAUAUCUGAUUAGCUAGUUGGUGAGGUAAAGGCUCACCAAGGCAACGAUCAGUAGCUGGUCUGAGAGGACGAUCAGCCACACUGGGACUGAGACACGGCCCAGACUCCUACGGGAGGCAGCAGUGGGGAAUUUUGGACAAUGGGGGCAACCCUGAUCCAGCAAUGCCGCGUGAGUGAAGAAGGCCUUCGGGUUGUAAAGCUCUUUUGUCAGGGAAGAAACAGCAGCUCUAACACAGUUGUGAAUGACGGUACCUGAAGAAUAAGCACCGGCUAACUACGUGCCAGCAGCCGCGGUAAUACGUAGGGUGCAAGCGUUAAUCGGAAUUACUGGGCGUAAAGCGUGCGCAGGCGGUUAUAC